CCCACGACAGUCCGCAGGGGUCAGAGAUGCUGCGACGUCCAGCCCCCUUUCCCACGACAGUCCGCAGGGGCAGAGUCAAGGCUGAGUUUCUCGAGCUCUUCACCCAGCCCCGGGUGUCUGCAAGGAGCGCUGAAUCCUUAGCAAGUCUCCUGAGCUGGCUUGUUUCCAGCCUGUGUUUUGAGGUGUCGGGUCCGAGCUGAGAGGCCUCGGAGGUCACCUGUCCUGCCAGAAGGGGUGGCACAAUGCUGGUUCCCAUCCUCUGUCCUCUGUGUGCCUUGGGGCACAGUCAGCUUGGUGAGCGAGCUGUCCCUGACCACGUGGGUCCAAACUCAGCCGGAGGAGACGGCCAGAGGCAGUCAGCGUGGGCUCCAGCCCCACUUCACUUGCCCCAAGAAAAGAGAAGGGGGGUGUCGGAUGGCAGCUUGCCCUGAUGAGUCAGGCUUGCCUGGCUCCCUGGUUCUGACGGAAAAGAUGCGCCAGGUGAGAGGAAGUGACUUCAGCCCCCGGGGAUGACGGGCAGGCUCAGAGGAGGGGACUGGGCUGGGCGUCUCCACGGCCCCAGGAAAGGAAAAUGUCUUCCUGGCGAUGCUUAAAGAACACGCGUUUUAUCUGCGUCUCUCUUGCUUUCUGAGGUGGGGCGGCGGGUCACCCCAGUCCUUCCCCCUGCUCUGCCACCUCUGUGCCCCACGCACCCCUUCACUGCCCAUGAGCACUUGUGAUGGGGAAGCACAGGCUUGUCCGAUGACCAGGGACUGGAGGGCACAUUCAAGGUGGCAGAGUUGAAUGUUGUGGGAACUGGAUGUGGCAUCACUGGAUGUGUGGGAUUUUUCCUGGGAGCUGUCCGCGUCCCUGCUGUGUCCCCCUGUGGAUAAUGGUCUGUCCACAGCCACUGGACCCUCCCCCAGCAGCCAACGGUGUGCAGGUGAGAGUCAGGGUCACGUGGGGCUCAUGAGACCCCACACUGGAGCUGGCCUGACCAGGGUCCAACCCUCACUCCCAGGAGAGCCCUUAUUGUGGGCAGGGCUGGGGUCAGGGAGGCAAGAGUAGGUGUCUGGGGGUGAUAACCGCACUCUAUUGCCUGACCUGGUCAUGGUUACUCCGGGAAAAUUCAUUAGCAGACGUUCUGAUUUGAACAGUACACUCCCAACACAACAGUGUAAAAAUUGGCCACACUUUUUUUUUUUAAUGGUCAUACCGAAUCCUGCUAAAAGUUGGGGUGAUGGGCAAUCUUAGUGGGACGCACUCUAAGUGGGAGCAUAAGUUGGCAAGUUAAAUUCUGAAAUUUCAUAUUCUUGGACUAAUUAAGUCUACGGCUGGGAGUCUUCCCUAAGGAAAGAGUAAAAUUUAAACAUAAAACGUAGGUAUCAGGAUGUUCACCAUUGCAGUAUCAAAUAGUUUUAAAAAUCUAAAUGUCCAGCAAUUAAGAAGAGAGAGAGAUCUCACUAUACACCUGCUAGAAUGAUUGACAAGACUGGUGAUACCACGUGUUGGUGAGGACCUGGUUCAGCCAGAGCUCUCAGACACGGUCCGGGGGGAGAAAAAGUGAUGUGAAUGUGGGGAAAAGUUUGGCAUUUUCUUAUAAAGUUAGUUUUACUCUUUUGACUCAGCAAUUCUACAGGUAGGUUUUACCCAAGAGAACUGACAACAUGGAUUCCCAAAAAGACAUGUACCAAAAUUCUGUAUCUACUUUAUUUAUAAUAGACAAAGAGUAGUAACCCAAUGGUCAUACAGGAGAAUGGAUAAGCAAAUAAUGGUAUGUUUGCAUGAUAGAAAACUACUCAGCAGUAAAUUGGAAACAGGUACCUAGCAAUAAGGAGCCCAUGGAUGGAUCUUACAGACACUAAGAUGGACCAAAAAAGGCUGAAUACAUGAGAGUACGUAUUGUGCGGUUCUGUUUACAUGCAGUUCUAGGGCAAGUGAAAUGAAGCUAUGAUAAAGGAUGAGACCAGAGGCUGCUCUGGGGGCCAUUGACUGAGAAGGAGCACGAGGAAGCUGUUUCGCUGAGGGCCCCCUCUGCAUUUUGGAAGGCGUGCAUGUUAUGUGGGCAUAUGCCUUUCUCAAAGCUCAUAAAGUGAUAGUUUAAGAUCUGUGCAGUGUAUAGCAUGUGAAUUUUACUUAACCCCCACCCCCCACAGUUGUAAACGCACAUUGAGCGGUAGUUAGCAGGCUUGCUUAUUACAGUGGUAUGGGUUGGCAAUUCUAAAACUAUUUUCUCUUUAUUCCAAUUUUGAGCAAAUGGGUAAAUAUAUCGAGAAUAACGGCAGUUCAAUCUCCCACUGAUGAAGGAGGGAGUUACAGCGUGGGCAGGAGGAGGAUUAGAAUGUGCCUUGUAAAUUGGAGCUGGAGGAGCCAGGCUAUUUACUGCCUCGUAUCUCUUAGCUCUGUCUGCUGAGAGCGCUUCGAAGCCAUGACACCCAGUUUCAAUGGUCCCACCUGACGCAGCAUCCAGCUCCUGGUUUCUAACUCUCCAUCCAUAGGAACCAGGGUUUCUUGGAGAAAAGGCUGAUUUCAGGCCCCAGGCCCGAGACCAGGGAAAGCACGAGGUCAAGGUCAAGAGCUAGAAGGAACUGUUUCUGACUGAAGAAGCUAAAGAGACGGGGAGACGAUGUGUGAGUGUGUGCGUGGGUCCCAGGAGACAAAACACGACACAAGGACACUGCCGCUACCUGAUGAAAUGUGACUGUGCGGUGGACGAGAUGAGGGGUUGAAAUCAAAACCCAACAAAAGGUCUGGAUGAAUGAAGCCGGCAGAGCCAGUUUCUCUGUGCGAGUUCAUCAGCGAAAGAUUCCACAUAUGAGCGAUCUCAUGUGGUAUUUUUCUUUCUCUUUCUGGCUUACUUCACUUAGAAUGACAUUCUCCAGGAGCAUCCAUGUUGCUGCAAAUGGCGUUAUGUUGUCGGUUAUUAUGGCUGAGUAGUAUUCCAUUGUAUAAAUACACCACAUCUUCUUUAUCCAGUCACCUGUUGAUGGACAUUUAGGCUGCUUCCAUGUUUUGGCUAUUGUAAAUAGUGCUGCUAUGAACAUUGGGGUGCAGGUGUCAUCCUGAAGUAGGGUUCCUUCUGGAUACAAGCUCAGGAGUGGGAUUCCUGGGUCAUAUGGUAAGUCUAUUCCUAGUUAAGUUCUGAGCUGUCCUCUUUCACCAGCAUUUCCUUCCAACUUGCCCUCCUGUGUGGAAGGGAGCAGGAAAAUGUGGCUCCGGGCAGGCAGGCGGGUGUCUGUGCUUCCUGCCGGUCCCCAGUAUG